rnacentral:rRNA from 1 species
AGCAGCCGCGGUAAUUCCAGCUCCAAUAGCGUAUAUUAAAGUUGUUGCAGUUAAAAAGCUCGUAGUUGAAUUUCGGGGUCAAUAAGUUGGUCGUGCCAAUGGUAUGCACUGGCUUUAUUGAUUCCUACCUCUUGACGAACUGUGAUGCCAUUAAUUUGGUGUCGCAAGGAAUCAGGACUGUUACCUUGAAAAAAUUAGAGUGUUUAAAGCAGGCUUACGCUUGAAUACAUUAGCAUGGAAUAAUGAAAUAGGACGUUUGAACCUAUUUUGUUGGUUUCUAGGAUCGACGUAAUGAUUAAUAGGGAUAGUUGGGGACAUUAGUAUUCAAUUGUCAGAGGUGAAAUUCUUGGAUUUAUUGAAGACUAACUACUGCGAAAGCAUUUGCCAAGGAUGUUUUCAUUAAUCAAGAACGAAAGUUAGGGGAUCGAAGACGAUCAGAUACCGUCGUAGUCUUAACCAUAAACUAUGCCGACUAGGGAUCGGAUGAUGUUAAUUUUUUAAUGACUCA